rnacentral:misc_RNA from 1 species
AGGGUUUGAGAGGUUGGGACGAUCUGAGCUGCGACGAUGGUGGAGAAGGCGAGCAAGGGGAGAAAGGAGGAGGUCGUGACGAGGGAGUACACCGUCAACCUCCACAAACGCCUCCACGGAUGCACCUUCAAGAAGAUGGCUCCCAAGGCCAUCAAGGAGAUUAGAAAGUUUGCCCAGAAGGCAAUGGGGACUACUGAUGUGAGGGUUGACGUGAAGCUCAACAAGCAAAUCUGGAGCAGAGGGAUUCGAAAUGUCCCUCGACGAGUUCGGGUGAGGAUUGCUCGCAAGAGGAAUGAGGAAGAAGAUGCUAAGGAGGAGCUCUACUCGUUGGUUACUGUUGCCGAGGUUCCUGCUGAGGGAUUGAAAGGAUUGGGAACCAAAGUGAUCGACGAAGCUGAUUGAAGUCUUUAAUUAUCACUUAGGUUAUUGAGACAUCUUAGUUUGUCCAAGGUCUAUCUUCAGAAUUUUGCAUCGACUUUAUCAUGCAAUUUUGUUUGGAUCAUAUUGUUAUCUCUUGUCUACCUCAGAAUCUGGAUAUGUUUUAUCUUGAAUUUUAAGUGUCCGUCUUAUUCUGCAUUUACG